AUUCCAGCUCCAAUAGCGUAUAUUAAAGUUGUUGCAGUUAAAAAGCUCGUAGUUGGAUUUCUGGGCUGAGCGACCGGUCCGCCGCUGUGCGGUGUGUACUCGUGUUCGACUCGGCUCAUCCUUGUGGGGAAACGCAUUUCGGCAUUAGGUUGUCGAGGCGGGGAACCGCAUCGUUUACUGUGAAAAAAUUAGAGUGUUUAAAGCAGGCAAAUUGCUGUGAAUACAUUAGCAUGGAAUAAUAACAUAGGACUUUGGUUCUAUUUUGUUGGUUGGAGGCCAAGGUAAUGAUUAAUAGGGAUAGUUGGGGGUGCUAGUAUUGAGCGGCCAGAGGUGAAAUUCUUGGAUUCGCUCAAGACUAACUUAUGCGAAAGCAUUCACCAAGGAUGUCUUCAUCG
rnacentral:rRNA from 1 species